rnacentral:rRNA from 1 species
GACGAACGCUGGCGGCGUGCCUAAUACAUGCAAGUCGAGCGAAUCUCGAGGAGCUUGCUCCUUGAGAUUAGCGGCGGACGGGUGAGUAACACGUGGGCAACCUGCCUGUAAGACUGGGAUAACACCGGGAAACCGGUGCUAAUACCGGAUAAUUCUUCUCCUCACAUGAGGGGAAGCUGAAAGUCGGUUUCGGCUGACACUUACAGAUGGGCCCGCGGCGCAUUAGCUAGUUGGUGAGGUAACGGCUCACCAAGGCGACGAUGAGUAGCCGACCUGAGAGGGUGAUCGGCCACACUGGGACUGAGACACGGCCCAGACUCCUACGGGAGGCAGCAGUAGGGAAUCUUCCGCAAUGGACGAAAGUCUGACGGAGCAACGCCGCGUGAGUGAUGAAGGCCUUCGGGUCGUAAAACUCUGUUGUUAGGGAAGAACAAGUAUCGGAGUAACUGCCGGUACCUUGACGGUACCUAACCAGAAAGCCACGGCUAACUACGUGCCAGCAGCCGCCGUAA